rnacentral:rRNA from 1 species
UACGUAGGUGGCAAGCGUUAUCCGGAAUUAUUGGGCGUAAAGCGCGCGUAGGCGGUUUCUUAAGUCUGAUGUGAAAGCCCACGGCUCAACCGUGGAGGGUCAUUGGAAACUGGGAAACUUGAGUGCAGAGGAGGAAAGUGGAAUUCCAUGUGUAGCGGUGAAAUGCGCAGAGAUAUGGAGGAACACCAGUGGCGAAGGCGACUUUCUGGUCUGUAACUGACGCUGAUGUGCGAAAGCGUGGGGAUCAAACAGG